rnacentral:lncRNA from 1 species
GAAACCAUAGCAGGUUGUCCUACUUUAAAAAGAAACAUAAAGGAAGCAAUACCUUAGUCUUUUUGGUGCUGCAAGGGAGGUCGUUUCUCUUGAAAUCAUCUUCAAGGGUGGAGCGAGCCAUUUGGUGAGUUAACUCAGCCAAGUAAUCUUCUUCGUCACUCUCUAUCUCGGUAGAGCCAACAACAACCACCUUGUUCUGCUUUGAUUUUUCACCAGCCAGAGAGUAAA